rnacentral:rRNA from 1 species
UACGUAGGGUGCGAGCGUUAAUCGGAAUUACUGGGCGUAAAGCGUGCGCAGGCGGUUCGUGAUGUCUGAUGUGAAAGCCCCGGGCUCAACCUGGGAAUUGCAUUGGAAACUAGCGGGCUGGAGUGUGGCAGAGGGGGGUGGAAUUCCACGUGUAGCAGUGAAAUGCGUAGAGAUGUGGAGGAACACCGAUGGCGAAGGCAGCCCCCUGGGCUAACACUGACGCUCAUGCACGAAAGCGUGGGGAGCAAACAGGAUUAGAUACCCUGGUAGUCCACGCCCUAAACGAUGGCAACUGGGUGUUGGGGAAGCGAUUUCUCAGUACCGUAGCUAACGCGUGAAGUUGCCCGCCUGGGGAGUACGGCCGCAAGGUUAAA